rnacentral:lncRNA from 1 species
CAUAAUAAUCAGCAGUCUGAGCACAGUAUCAGCCUCAUCCAUAUUCUUGCGUUCUAUUAAUUAUUAACAGACUUUUGUGGCGAAUCUCUUAUUCACUGCUGUACCAUCUGCAUGUUCCUUUCUGAAAUAAAAAGCUUCUGCUUUUAUCUGGCUGUUUUGGCCUUUGUCUGGCAGACCUGAGGUCAGCCACUGCCCAGCAGCAGCAGCCAUGGGCCUAGGCCCAUCUGGCACCCCCAGUUUCUCCAGCUGCGUUCUUCCACCCAUAUCUCCUGCAUUUCCUUGGCCCUUCUCUCUUUCAGAAGAGAGGCAAAACUCUGCAGUGUGCACAGGUUAUUGGGUAUCUUUUUGGAGAGUCUUCUUCAUUUCCCAGUGUCACUUCCCAAUGUCCUAGACCUCAGGCUUUGACCAGCGGUUGCAGCACAAUGUAAUUCCACCAGCACGGUUCCGUCCAGCAGCCUGCGGCCACUGGGAAUCCAUUAUUUUGUGACGCUUCAGUAUAAAACGCGUCCUGCUUGUGGGGAACAACGCGUGCCAUCAGGAACGCAGGACUCAUCACCCCACCGGCAGGGUGUCGGGCAGGGCAGGGCAACGCGAGCACAAAACCCUGGCCCGCGGGACGGGGCCCCGUGCCCGGCCCGACCUCAGCCCCCUCGCCCCCUCGGGGUGCCCGGCACGGGGGAGCCUCAGGGGGCGGGCGGCCAGGCCGGGUUCCGCGGGGGAACGGAAAGCCACGGCCCGGGUUUCCCGGCGUCCCGGCGGCCGGGAGCCAUCCGGGGGGAAGCGUUUUGGCGACGGCCGCCGCGGGCGGGCUGAGGAAGGCGGCGGUGCGGUGGCUGCUACUUCAGGGACCUGUGGGAUUUAAGAAUAUCUCUCCUCUAAGAAAAUUUGCUGCUUCUACAGCCUUCCAUCUUAGUGGGCAAUUGAUGAUUUCACUUGAAAUACUUAUCUGAAGAAAUUAACAGUAGGCAAGGUGUAAUUGCUUUUUAAAAAUGUUAAAAGUACAGCAGUGUGUAACAGCUAACAGGAUACCCAAGAAAAAGCCAUAUAUUUGUGACACUUGCUAUAAACAGUUUGAAACUCCAUCAAAAUUAGCUAGGCAUUAUCUGAUACAUACUGGUCAAAA